GAUGAACGCUGGCGGCGUGCCUAAUACAUGCAAGUCGAGCGAACGGACGAGAAGCUUGCUUCUCUGAUGUUAGCGGCGGACGGGUGAGUAACACGUGGAUAACCUACCUAUAAGACUGGGAUAACUUCGGGAAACCGGAGCUAAUACCGGAUAAUAUUUUGAACCGCAUGGUUCAAAAGUGAAAGACGGUCUUGCUGUCACUUAUAGAUGGAUCCGCGCUGCAUUAGCUAGUUGGUAAGGUAACGGCCUACCAAGGCAACGAUGCGUAGCCGACCUAAGAGGGGGAUCGGUCACACUGGAACGGAGACACGGACCAGACUCCUACGGGAGGCAGCAGUAGGGAAUCGUCCGCAAUGGGCGAAAGCCUGACGGAGCAACGCCGCGUGAGUGAUGAAGGUCUUCGGAUCGUAAAACUCUGUUAUUAGGGAAGAACAUAUGUGUAAGGAACUGUGCACAUCGUGACGGUACCUAAUCAGAAAGCCACGGCUAACUACGUG
rnacentral:rRNA from 1 species